AUGGAGCCGACCUUGAAAUACCACCCUUUAAUGUUUGAUGUUCUAACGUUGACCCGUAAUCCGGGUUGCGGACAGUGUCUGGUGGGUAGUUUGACUGGGGCGGUCUCCUCCUAAAGAGUAACGGAGGAGCACGAAGGUUGGCUAAUCCUGGUCGGACAUCAGGAGGUUAGUGCAAUGGCAUAAGCCAGCUUGACUGCGAGCGUGACGGCGCGAGCAGGUGCGAAAGCAGGUCAUAGUGAUCCGGUGGUUCUGAAUGGAAGGGCCAUCGCUCAACGGAUAAAAGGUACUCCGGGGAUAACAGGCUGAUACCGCCCAAGAGUUCAUAUCGACGGCGGUGUUUGGCACCUCGAUGUCGGCUCAUCACAUCCUGGGGCUGAAGUAGGUCCCAAGGGUAUGGCUGUUCGCCAUUUAAAGUGGUACGCGAGCUGGGUUUAGAACGUCGUGAGACAGUUCGGUCCCUAUCUGCCGUGGGCGCUGGAGAACUGAGGGGGGCUGCUCCUAGUACGAGAGGACCGGAGUGGACGCAUCACUGGUGUUCGGGUUGUCAUGCCAAUGGCACUGCCCGGUAGCUAAAUGCGGAAGAGAUAAGUGCUGAAAGCAUCUAAGCACGAAACUUGCCCCGAGAUGAGUUCUCCCUGACUCCUUGAGAGUCCUGAAGGAACGUUGAAGACGACGACGUUGAUAGGCCGGGUGUGUAAGCGCAGCGAUGCGUUGAGCUAACCGG
rnacentral:rRNA from 1 species